AAAAACCUAUCAAGCAUAAUUAUUUUUUAAAUUUUUUUUUGACAAAGGGAUAAACAAUUGUUUUUUUUUAUGUUUAUGAUUUUUUAAAUAAAAAAAUAAGCAAUGUUUUCAAUCUAUGAUUUAAAAGGGUUAACAAAUGAUCAUUCACUCACAAAUAGGUUUAUUUGGAAAAGUAUACUCUCAAAAACCAACAUUGACCAUAUCCAUAUAUCAUACAUAACAAGUAAAAAAAAAUAUUCAAACAAAAUUAAUAUUGUUAAUUGUAGUGACACCGUUAAUAUAUGUGUUCCUACUUUAUAAAAAGGCACAAAC
rnacentral:lncRNA from 1 species